rnacentral:rRNA from 1 species
AUAUUGCACAAUGGGCGCAAGCCUGAUGCAGCCAUGCCGCGUGUGUGAAGAAGGCCUUCGGGUUGUAAAGCACUUUCAGUCGUGAGGAAGGUUUAUGCGUUAAUAGCGUAUAGAUUUGACGUUAGCGACAGAAGAAGCACCGGCUAACUCCGUGCCAGCAGCCGCGGUAAUACGGAGGGUGCGAGCGUUAAUCGGAAUUACUGGGCGUAAAGCGCAUGCAGGUGGUUUGUUAAGUCAGAUGUGAAAGCCCGGGGCUCAACCUCGGAAUAGCAUUUGAAACUGGCAGACUAGAGUACUGUAGAGGGGGGUAGAAUUUCAGGUGUAGCGGUGAAAUGCGUAGAGAUCUGAAGGAAUACCGGUGGCGAAGGCGGCCCCCUGGACAGAUACUGACACUCAGAUGCGAAAGCGUGGGGAGCAAACAGGAUUAGAUACCCUGGUAGUCCACGCCGUAAACGAUGUCUACUUGGAGGUUGUGGCCUUGAGCCGUGGCUUUCGGAGCUAACGCGUUAAGUAGACCGCCUGGGGAGUACGGUCGCAAGAUUAAAACUCAAAUGAAUUGACGGGGGCCCGCACAAGCGGUGGAGCAUGUGGUUUAAUUCGAUGCAACGCGAAGAACCUUACCUACUCUUGACAUCCAGAGAACUUUCCAGAGAUGGAUUGGUGCCUUCGGGAACUCUGAGACAGGUGCUGCAUGGCUGUCGUCAGCUCGUGUUGUGAAAUGUUGGGUUAAGUCCCGCAACGAGCGCAACCCUUAUCCUUGUUUGCCAGCGAGUAAUGUCGGGAACUCCAGGGAGACUGCCGGUGAUAAACCGGAGGAAGGUGGGGACGACGUCAAGUCAUCAUGGCCCUUACGAGUAGGGCUACACACGUGCUACAAUGGCGCAUACAGAGGGCGGCCAACUUGCGAAAGUGAGCGAAUCCCAAAAAGUGCGUCGUAGUCCGGAUUGGAGUCUGCAACUCGACUCCAUGAAGUCGGAAUCGCUAGUAAUCGUGGAUCAGAAUGCCACGGUGAU